AUUGAACGCUGGCGGCAGGCCUAACACAUGCAAGUAGAACGAGUGGCGGACGGGUGAGUAAUGUCUGGGAAACUGCCCGAUGGAGGGGGAUAACUACUGGAAACGGUAGCUAAUACCGCAUACCAUCGGAUGUGCCCAGAUGGGAUUAGCUAGUGGGUGGGGUAACGGCUCACCUAGGCGACGAUCCCUAGCGGGUCUGAGAGGAUGACCAGCCACAAUGGGACGUAGACACGGUCCAGACUCCUACGGGAGGCAGCAGUGGGGAAUAUUGCACAAUGGGCGCAAGCCUGAUGCAGCCAUGCCGCGUGAAUGAAGAAGGCCUUCGGGUUGUAAAGUACUUUCAGCGAGGAAGCGUUACUCACAGAAGAAGCACCGGCUAACUCCGUGCCAGCAGCCGCGGUAAUUC
rnacentral:rRNA from 1 species